AAGCCAGCCAGGAAGGAGGAGGCAGCCAGAGAGGACUCCACUGUUCUCUGCAGCAGAAGACCCCCUGCUGCCAGGGACUUCAGGAUAAAUCUGGCCAACAUGUGAAUGCAGCACCUCCAUUCCAGAGGAGAUGUGUGUUAAAGGGCUUUAAAAGCCUCCUGUGAAAAACCUCCUGGAAUCAGACUUGACUGAAUUUGUUCAGAAUUCUGAGAAAACAAACAUAGGCUCACCCUGCAUGGUUGAAAGUCUCCUUGGCUAAUCUGCAGCGAGGGGCCCAUUUUAAUCAUUCAUCUUUCUAGUGUGUUCUAGGCAUUAAAAGUAAAACAAAUGUAUAGUACUCAAUGUAUAUCACUAUAUAUUGUGACGUGUGCGUGUGUGUAUUCAGUGAAAUGUAUUUCCAGGCAGCAUACUUAUUUUGGAAUAUCAGACUUAAAUCCUUGGGGGCCUGGGGUGUGCGGAGGCCCUGGACUUUGAGUGGGGGGGCCCCAUUUUAAAAUCUUGUCUCUGGGCCCACUCCAACCUUGCUACGCCCCUGCUUCUGCCCAAACCUUUCCAGAGCUGCUUUGCUUUCCACAGCAGGGAAUUUCUAUAUUCACAUUCCUGCGCUGGUUAUGUAUGACUCAUGAGCAGCAAAGUUAAUUUGUACAUCUGUGUUGCUCAAUCACUGAUAUGGACAGAGAGUUGAUGGAAUUUAAAGUAAUAAUAUAUUUAUUACCAACUGUGAAAUUACUCAGUAGGGAUGGAUAAGGAUAAUGCUGCAUUUAGCCUGCUUCCCAGGGCAGCGUUUUGAGCUGGUUAGGCUGGACUACAACAGCUGUAGUCGUUUCUUCCAGUUCCUUAAUUUUACUGGAUAUGGGCAUUUUAGCAGUACGGAGUAUUUCAUCCACCACUAGCGUAUGCAAUGUUGAUAACUUGUUUUACUCUUCCUAAAAUCUGAUAGGUUAUUUUAUUUAGCAAAGGGAUUCUGAUUGGCUUAAGGGCCUCUGACCAAUAGGAUCAUGACUGCUUUUCCUAAUACCCCAGUGUUUUGCCUUCAAAUGCAAUAACGUUGCAGUUCUUGAACCACUUAUUUUGCAGUAGCUCUCCACUUCAGUGGAGUAUUUGAUUUGAGGAUUGCAGCAUUUAAGAUUCUUUAAACAAGAAACUACUGUAGGAUUUAGAACCCAGAAUCCGAUUAGAGGAUAUGCCAAUUGCCAGCUGACUAUUUGACCAAAAGUUUUUGCUGUUCAUCCUUGAUGUUAGCUUUGAUACAGCAGCGACCACAUAUCUUAUACUGCAUUUCUCUGUAGUAAUAAUAAUAAUGAUCAGCAAACAAUCACUGAAACGUAAGGUCCUACCCAUUCACAACAUAAAAACAUGUGUGCACCAAAAUUAAACAGCCUCACAUUCACAGUUUGAAUGUGAAAUGCCUUUUCUUUGUUUGUGUUACAUAUCCCUUGAACCACAUUCAUUAUGCUUUACAGGAGGGUUUUAAAAAACCCACCAAAAUGAGGUACAAAAAUGCAUACUUGUGUUAAACAUGCAGUUGUUGUUAUUGUUUUUUUAAAGUCAAAUAGGAGUCAAAUGCUUGAUUAGGCAUUAUUAUUCUUAUUGCAGCCGUAGUUAAAUCAUUUUAUGCUAUAGUAAAAUGUAGUCCAGGAUCUACUAUGUCUCUUAUUCCAGCCAUAGCUAGAUUUUUAGUGCAGUUGUAUGCCUAUAUUUUAUAUUUUAAAUCAUUUUAUGCUAGUAAUAUAUUUUAGUGUCUUUUUAUUUCUUAUUGUAUAUUUUAAAUAAUCUUAUGAUAGUAGUAUGUUUUAGAGUGUAAAAUCUGUUGCUACUCAGGUUUUUAAAAUGUACUUUAUGCUGGUUUGUGAAUGUAAUAAAGAUUGAUUGAUUGAUUGA